UACAGAGGAUGCAAGCGUUAUCCGGAAUGAUUGGGCGUAAAGCGUCUGUAGGUGGCUUUUUAAGUCCGCCGUCAAAUCCCAGGGCUCAACUCUGGACAGGCGGUGGAAACUACCAAGCUCGAGUACGGUAGGGGAGAAUGGAAUUCCCGGUGUAGCGGUGAAAUGCGCAGAUAUCGGGAGGAACACCGGUGGCGAAGGCGGUUCUCUGGGCCUUACCUGACGCUGAGGAGCGAAAGCGUGGGGAGCGAACAGG
rnacentral:rRNA from 1 species